rnacentral:rRNA from 1 species
GGCGGCGUGCCUAAUACAUGCAAGUCGAGCGAACUGAUUAGAAGCUUGCUUCUAUGACGUUAGCGGCGGACGGGUGAGUAACACGUGGGCAACCUGCCUGUAAGACUGGGAUAACUUCGGGAAACCGAAGCUAAUACCGGAUAGGAUCUUCUCCUUCAUGGGAGAUGAUUGAAAGAUGGUUUCGGCUAUCACUUACAGAUGGGCCCGCGGUGCAUUAGCUAGUUGGUGAGGUAACGGCUCACCAAGGCAACGAUGCAUAGCCGACCUGAGAGGGUGAUCGGCCACACUGGGACUGAGACACGGCCCAGACUCCUACGGGAGGCAGCAGUAGGGAAUCUUCCGCAAUGGACGAAAGUCUGACGGAGCAACGCCGCGUGAGUGAUGAAGGCUUUCGGGUCGUAAAACUCUGUUGUUAGGGAAGAACAAGUACGAGAGUAACUGCUCGUACCUUGACGGUACCUAACCAGAAAGCCACGGCUAACUACGUGCCAGCAGCCGCGGUAAUACGUAGGUGGCAAGCGUUAUCCGGAAUUAUUGGGCGUAAAGCGCGCGCAGGCGGUUUCUUAAGUCUGAUGUGAAAGCCCACGGCUCAACCGUGGAGGGUCAUUGGAAACUGGGGAACUUGAGUGCAGAAGAGAAAAGCGGAAUUCCACGUGUAGCGGUGAAAUGCGUAGAGAUGUGGAGGAACACCAGUGGCGAAGGCGGC